rnacentral:lncRNA from 1 species
GUCGCGCAGGUGAGACCCGCUGCUCUUUGCUUUUGAGAUGGGUCGAGGAGUGGUUUGCUUAUGGCGGCUGUUGUCUUGUGUAGGCUUUCUUUGACCUCGAGAAUGGCAACCAGGAGCUCAAGAGCGAGCUCAAGGACCUGUACAUCAACAAUGCAGUGUAAGUGUGCCCGUUCUCUCCAUGCAAGCCUCACUCCCGGUCCCGGCCGAUUGCUCGUGAGCAGUAUAUUCGUUUUGAUGGUUAGUGCAACGUGUGAUGUGGUUGCGGAUUUGUGUGGAUGUGCAGCCAGAUGGAUAUUGCCGGGAACAGGAAGGCUGUGGUGAUCCACGUGCCGUACCGUCUGCGCAAGGCAUUCAAGAAAAUCCAUGUCAGGCUUGUCAGGGAGCUCGAGAAGAAGUUCAGCGGCAAGGUCAAUUACGUCUUUCCCAUUUGUCUACUGUGUUGCAUAGGUCGCAUGCUAGGAGUUCAAUUUACUAACUCAUAAUACAUUGUUGUUAGUUCUUAAUGUUGCGUGUCGGGGCGCAAAACCUGUAGCUUAUGUUGUUCAUGCUUAACAUGCAACGUAGAUACUGUUAGUUUGGUUGAAGAUAAAAUGUUACCCUUUUAGCGCUGAAUUUGUAAUAUCAUACUGUUGAUAUAACUGCUAACAUCUUGGAGAACAUACACGGUAUUGCAAGCACCGUUUGUAAGGCUGCGACCUGAGCAUUUUCCAUUCAUCUACUAGCAUAGUACUGGCUUUCUAUAUCGACACUGAAGUGUCUGAUGUACACAUGUAGUGGUUAACUGGCCUGGGGGUAUCAUCUUAAGUUACUCUGAGGAUACCAUCGAAGGGUAAACAUCAAUUUGUGUUGCUUACGAAAUCCUGGCAUUUUUGUUUUUUAACCUUGUUUCAUGCACGACAGACUUCUUAAUUUGUGUUAUAUUUGUAUGACCUUGGUGUCAGUUUGUUGUUACCAUUCUCUGAACAAGUUACUAUUACUUGACUAUUUGUGUUGAUAUUGUAUGUUAAACUACAAACAGGAUGUGGUAAUUGUUGCAACAAGGAGGAUUGUGAGGCCUCCCAAGAAGGGCUCGGCUGUUCAGCGCCCUCGCACAAGAACUCUUACUGCUGUUCAUGAUGGUAUCUUGGAGGAUGUAGUCUACCCAGCUGAGAUUGUUGGCAAGCGCAUCAGAUACCGUCUGGAUGGUGCCAAGGUCAUCAAGGUAGAUGCUACAAACUUGUGUCCCUUCUAAAUUGUCAUUUUAAUAUUUUAUAUUGUGCUCAUCUGUCACUGCAUGUACUCUCUACCAGCUACAUCAGCUUCUCCACUAUAAUUUGCAAAAACUGAAAUCAUUGAUGUUUUUUUUUCCUCAUGUACAAUGGGCUUGUUGUAAGCCUGUAACUAAUCCUGCAGCAUGACACUUCUGUUUGCUAGGUUAGUAUUGACCCAUGUGUUUUGAUGUGUUUUCAGAUUUUCUUGGACCCAAAGGAGCGCAACAAUACCGAAUACAAGCUCGAGACCUUCUCCGCGGUCUACCGCAGGCUUUGUGGGAAAGAUGUUGCCUUUGAGUACCCUAUGACUGAAACUGCUUGAAGAUGCAUUCCUUGGAUUGUUCCCAAUGUAUUCCAGAAAUCAUAGUUUUGAUGCCAAAGUUGGUACUUGGGUAUUUGUUACUUUGAGACGACAAAUCGACUUGAACAAUGUUAAAGUUUUGGGCAUUUAAAUUAUAGACCUUUGCUUUGGCACGGUUAGCUUGUUUCAAUCCAUUGUUUGUUGUGGAAUUAGUUUUCACUUAUGUGGUAGGGGAAGAAUCUCAUUAUGACCGCCUAUUUCAUUUUUUUUGCUCCAGCUACUCGUUAUCUGUUACCUUAGUCAUUUAAUCGUUGUUUUGUUGGGCCUCCUGCUUGCAUCCGUUUUGUCGUUUGAUCUCUUGAGAGCGGCCAGGCUUAUGAAAAAACACCCUCGUAUUAAAGAGGAACGUCACGCCGUUAUCGUUUUUUUGGAUUGAGAAAUGGAAAAAUAGUAAAUCUGCAUAUUGUAAAAAUAAGGGCUAUUUGAUUCGUAGGGUACAAUCAAACGGCUGUAUUUAGAAUUGUGUUUUUCUUAUUGAUUUGUUCUUUUUUCAUUCCUUCGUUUUCAUUCUUUUUUUUUCUCGCAGUCUGAUCAAAUGUCUGUUUAGAAUUAUGUUUUUUUCUAUUUUUUCACAUUUUAAGAGGGGGUGUCAUAUCUGGUAUCGUGGGUAGGUUCCGGGGUAUGAAUCAGUUAUGGGAGUCAAAGUGGACUUAUUCCUACGGAGUAACCCUCUAGAGCACAAGUCACGGCCCAAAGGAGGUCGAAGGCCCAUUUUCCGAAAUGGAAUAAGUCCUAUUUGCCCCCCUGAACACAUGCCCCUAGUUGAAUCAUAUCUCUCAACCGUAAAACCGAGUAUAACCAGUCCCCCGUCUUUCAAAGUUUUGUGCUACAUGCCACUUACGUGGUAGGUUAACUUGGUCUUCAUCCCAUGUGACGCUUACGUGGCAUUAAAAUAAAACAAACUUAAAUGGGGCCCACAUGGCAGUCAGUAAAACAAUUAAAAAAAUUCAGACCUACUUGUCAGUUACCCUUUCUCUCUCUAAUGUGAAUGGCGGCUGCAGCGACGAGUGAGAUGGAGGGGCUUGCCUAUCGUGGUGCAUGGGUGGGGAGGAAUCAGUUGCCACGGCGCGCGCGCGCGGGUGUGUGUGUGGGGGGGGGGGUUGCCAUUCACGGCGCUCCGCGAGCUCAACGGCCACAGCACACGCACGGCGAGGACUCGCCUGCCACAGCACGCAAGGGGGAGGGCUUGCCGGUCGCAACACAAGCGGGGCAGGGGCUCGUCGACCUCUGACUCCACCUCCCGAAUCGGCGAGACAACGCGACAGCCACGUAAAUCCGACAGCGCAGCGGCGGUCCUAUUUCUAUUCUCCCCCCAAUCCCCACACUCUCUCCCCUCGCCGCCUUCUCAUCAUAGCAGGGCGGCAAACGGUGGCGGCUGUGGCUAUAAACAACAUCCACCAAGGAGAUGAUGACGAACGAGCUCAGGGAAAGCUAGAAUAGCGUCAACAUGGCUCGGCAACAGCGUCUCCGAUGCUAAGUCGCCAAGAACAAGCACCUCCCUGCUCCCUGGUCGAAGAGGAGUGCUUGUUGCCAGCUGUUGUCGCUCCUCUUCGCUGUUGUGCCGCCCGCGAGAAGAUGGAGUGUCUCUAUUGCCGCUGAUGGGUUGUAUGACGCUCGGAGAUGCCCAACGCCUCACCGCCGCUUGGACCAACCAUGGCAUGGCUGGAUCCCACCACUAGGUCCGAGCCUCUGUUUGGCGGCAUAAGAGAGAAGGAGAGAUCCAGUGGUCGUAGAGGCGGUCGGGGUGGUCGUGCACGAGAGGGAAUUUCCAGCGCUGAAGCCGGUGUGGGUGCACGAUACCAUUGGCCUGCUCCUGUCCUGAGUCAGCACUAGAGAGGUAGCAACAGCACUAGAACACCCUCCCGCCACUGAUGGCCCCGAGAGAGAGAGAGGGGGGGAUGGAGGGAGGGAGAAAGGAUGGGAGGAGCCGCCGGUGCCCUCCGAGUCUCCGACUCGUCGCUGUCGGCCCGCUGCCACCCUCUCAGCAGACUUGAGCUGCUGCUGGAAACUUGAGGAGAGGAAGAUGCAAGGGAGGAAAGAGGGAAGAGAUUGGUGAGAAGAUGAGUGGAGACUUACAUUUGGGCCCCACAUGCUAACUUAGCCGAUUGAUCAGGUCAAUGAGCCACGUCAGCGAAAACCCCCAUCCAAUACUGUUGAGGGAGUCAAUUUGCAAUGGUUUUAUGAGUUGGAGGAUGGGUUAUACUCGGUGCAGUUGAGUAAUGCGAUUCAACCACGGGCAUGAAUUGAAGGAUGCAGAUUAGACUUAUUGCCAGGCUAGAGAGCUCACAGCCUGCUGGCCCAACGAUGCGAUGCCUAGGGUUUAUAAGAACACUUCCUGGCCACCCCCUCCGCCGCCUCCGAAUCGUAGCGCCGGCGCUGCCACUUCCCUCGCUCUCGCAUCUUCUCCUCGCGCCCAGGUAUCUCUCUCUCUCCAUCUAUGCCUCAAAUCCGCACGACGCUAUAAUUCGUCUUCUUCGCUCGGUUUGCUUGAUUGCUGAUCUGACCUUGUGUGUGUGUGCGUCUCUGGGGAUCGAAUCUUGCGGCAGGGGCCAGGUAAGCGAAGAUGUACACCGCGAGGAAGAAGAUCCAGAAGGAGAAGGGCCUCGAGCCCUCCGAGUUCGAGGACUCCGUCGCGCAGGUGAGACCCGCUGCUCUUUGCUUUUGAGAUGGGUCGAGGAGUGGUUUGCUUAUGGCGGCUGUUGUCUUGUGUAGGCUUUCUUUGACCUCGAGAAUGGCAACCAGGAGCUCAAGAGCGAGCUCAAGGACCUGUACAUCAACAAUGCAGUGUAAGUGUGCCUGUUCUCUCCAUGCAAACCUCACUCCCGGUCCCGGCCGAUUGUUCGUGAGCAGUAUAUUCGUUUUGAUGGUUAGUUAGUGCAAUGUGUGAUGUGGUUGCGGAUUUGUGUGGUUGUGCAGCCAG